GGCUGACGUCACACGAAGCAGCCAAUGGGCGUGGAGUUGAGUGAAUUGCGGUUUCCUCCUGUGGAAUUUGAAUUUUAUAACGAGAGCGACCCAAACAGACGGUGUGUGUGUAUGUGUGGGAUAAAGGAGCAUCGCGCCCAAAGUUGUAAACCAUGAGCUGGGCGGUGGAGGAGUGGAAGGAUGGACUUCCAGGGAAAGCCCUGCAGAAGAUCCAGGAGAUGGAGGUCCAGCUGGACAAACUGAAGAAGGAGAGGAGCCAGAAGCAGUUUCAGCUGGACUCCUUAGAGGCUGCUCUGCAGAAACAGAAACAAAAGGCGGACAGUGAACGGAGCGAGACCUCUGCUCUGAAGAGAGAGAACCAGUCUUUAGUCGAGUCCUGUGACGCUCUAGAGAAAACCCGUCAGAAGGUCAGCCAUGACCUCGGAGUCAAAGAGCAGCAGGUGAGCUACCUAGAAGGCCAGCUUAACUCCUGCAGGAAGACCAUAGAGCGACUGGAGCAAGAGCUGAAGAAGUAUAAGAAUGAGCUGGAUCGUUCCCAGCCUGCUGGAUCCUCCUCUUUGUCAUCCUCUUCCUCUGAGCUUCAGCCCUACACUACUCCACAGAAAAGUUUUUCUACCCCAGCUCCUGUCGCUGCUUACAGACAUCAAGAUAACAGACUAGAUGAGCUCCAGGAGAAAUACAACCAGGAGGUAGAAGAAAGAAAAAGGCUGGAGACUGAACUCAAAGUCCUGCAGGUUAAACUGUUGAGUCAGUCCUCAGUCAGUGUAAGCCACAAGGACAUUGCUGCCCGCCAAGCCGGAUCUUCCAUAUUCCCAUGGCAGGAUCAGGCCCACAGCCGCCCGUCUCAGGAUGCGAUGGAAACGCCUCUGAAGAGGCGGGGGACGUCCCUGUGGGAAGCCCACGAGGAAACACCUAUAAAAGCCAGGAUGAGCUCCACCAGAGUAGCACAGAGUCCCAGUGGAUCCUCCCAGCAGAUGGAGCAGCUAAAUACCAUCAACCAAGAGCUGCGUGGCCGUGUGUCAGAGCUGGAGAGAAAUCUGUCCACUCAGGAGAAGGAAAUUCGCAGCCAGGCGUCCAAGCUGCAGGAACUACAGACCCAACUGAACCAGGCCCGCAAAGAGCUGACUGAACGGGACAGAGACCUGACCAAGACCAGACACGAGCUGACCCAGGCCACAGACAGACACCAGCAGGUUGAAUCAAAGUGUUCAUCAGUUGAGCAGAAGCUGAAACAAGUCUCGGAGGAGAUGAACUGUCAGAGGCACAACGCUGAGAGCUGCAGGCGAACCCUGGAACAGAAACUCAAAGACCAAGAGAGAAACAGCCAAAAGGAGCUGGCUCAGCUGCAGAGUUCUCACCAGGCUUUGGAUCAGCAGCUGAACCAGACCAGAGCCAAACUAACACAGGAGCUCCAACAGUCCAAAAAAGAGUGCAACAUGCUGCAGGCUGACACUGAGAAGAUGAAUUUCCAGAAGAGUCAGAUGGAGAAGGAGGUGGAGGAGCAGAAACAGAAAUUGCUGAGGUCAGAGCAGAGCCUCCAGGCCAGCCAGACCAAAGAGCAGGACCUUCGCAAGAAACUGGAGGAGCUGCAGAAAGAGAAGAACACGGCGACUGUUCAGUUGGACCAGAGCAGCAGGCGUCUGAGUCAGCUGGAGGAAGAGAAGAAGAGCGCAGACCAGAGCCUCAAACGCACCCAGGGAUUACUCGAUGACAUAAAAGCAAAAUCAGAAGGGCAGGCGGAGGAACUGAAGAGACUUCAGGCUAAACUGGAGCAGCAGACUCAGGCUUCGGCCCGCGAGCUGGAAAACAUGAAAAAGACCAUUUCUGAUGCAGAGACCAAAAAUGACAGAUCUCAGAAUGACCUACAGAAACAGAGGCAAGAGGCAGAGAAGCUGACCAACAGGCUGACGGUCCUGGAGAAGGAGAGCCAGGAGCUGAAAUCCAAUCUCACUGCGAGUCAGAACGAGUGUAAGGAACUGAAACAAGCGCAUCAAGCUCUGCUGGAGUGGAAGAAAGAAAAGGAGACCUUGAUCAAUGAAACUGAGGCUGUGCAAAAAGACCUCACUGAUAAAAUUGCCAAUUUGGAAAACAGUCUCGCCUCACUGAAUGAGGCUACUGAUGAACUGAAGAAGAAGCUUGUGAGUGUAGAGGGAGACAAGACCAGUCUGUCUGCUCACAUCGACUCGUUGAAGGGAGAACUCCUCAACAAGAGCACAGAGUUGGAGGAGAAGGAGCACAAGUACAACGAGCUCCAAUCUAAGUUCACUGAAGCUGGGCAGAAACACACCAAAGACCUGGAGAAUGUUGCUGUACAAGUGGCUCAGCUUGAGAAACAGGUCAAAGAUCUGGAGUUGCGUUUGCAAAAAGAGUUGGCUCGAGCAGAGCAGGCUGAGAGGACCAACGCAGAGCUGCAGGACGAGCACCAGGCAGCCUGCGAUCUGGCUCACUCCAAAGACCAGCUGCUAGAGUUGGGCCAAGCUGAGGUCAGCCAGCUGAGAGAGAGCCUCGCUCGGGCCACUGCACAGCAGGAGGAGCACAGUGCCAGGUUGGCGGAGGAGAAGGUAGCCCUGCAGAAGCAGUGUGAGGAGAGUGUUUCAGUGAAGGUUGAAGAGACUGAACAGUUUAGGCUUCGGCUGGAGGACGUUCAGCAAGAGCUGCUGAUUUCCAAAAACCAGGUCAAUUCCAUGGAUCAGUGCCUGAAGGUCCAGGAGCAACUGGGAGCUGAGCUGCACAGACAAAUUCAGGCACUGACGGAAAGUGAAGAGGAGCACAAAAAACUGAAUGAGAAAAAGUCAGAAGAGCUCCAGCAGUUAGAGGAGGAGCUGAAGGAUCUGCAGAGCGACACAGAAGAGAUGAAGCAGCAGCUCCGAGAUGCUGAAGCCCAGAUUUCAUCUCUUGAGAAACAAAAGGCUGAGCUGGAAAAUGCAGUUCAAGAGACUAAGAAGGAGGCUGAGACAAUCCAGCAGGCUCAGAGUGAGAAGAUCAACAAUCUUCUGGAGCAGAUAUCCUCAUUAGAAGACAAACUAACUGCAAGCAAGGAUGCAGCAGAGAUGCUUCCAGUCUUGCAGAAUGAACUGGACAAGGUCAACCAGUCCCACACUGACCUCAAGAAGUGCCUGGAAACGCUUGAAAAGAACCAUUCCUCCGUUACUGAAAUAAAGACCAACUUGGAGAGCACCCUGACUGAGAAAACCAAUCUGAUUGCUACUUUGGAGAAAAAAGUCAAAGAGCUCACAGAGAAGAUGAGCAAAGAGUCUGAGAGUCAUGCUUUGAAGAUCGAAAAUGCCCUUAACAAAGAGAGGCGUCUCGAAGAGCAGCUGGAAGCCGCUAAGCAAUCAUUAACUGCAGCUAAAGUGGAAUCACGGUCUUGGCGGGAGGAGAUAAAGACCAUGAAGACGACUCUGUCUGCUGCCUCACGCGGCCUCGAAGAGAGAGACAACAUGGUAAAGAGCCUGAAGGAGAAGCUGAAUAGAGCGGAGGCAGAGCAGGCCAAAACAUCAGAUCUCCUGAAAGAGAAAGUGGUUGCCAUGAACAAAAUCAAGGUGCAAAUGGAGAUGCUGCAGAUGGACCUGGAGGACAACGAGACGGCUAUGAACUCAUUUGACAGUCAGGUGGAGGAACUGAAGGGAACCGUAGAGUCACUGGAGGCUCAGCUAGCUCAGAACCAGACCCACAUGUCUGACAUGGAGGCCAUGCUGGAGGAGAGCAAAGCCCAGGUCUCAGUCUUGGAAACCCGGUUAGAGGAGGUUCAAUGUCAGAACUCUGCGCUGGAGUCGCAAUAUUUCACAGCCAGGGAGGAGCUGAUGGAGAGGAGCUGUGAAAUAACUCGACUGGAAGAGGACGCUGUCAAGCGAAGCCAGCUGGAGGAGGACAUCGCUGCGCUAGAGUUGAAACUCAGGCAAAGUGCAGAGGAAAAUGUCAAGUUAGAGGCGACUCUCAGGCAGAUAAUUGAUGACAAAGAAAACAACCUUAGGCAGUUGCUACAGGAGAAAAAUAACCUUGAGAUCACUAUGAAACAGCUGGCCGAUGACAAAGAGCAAGUCGAGGCUGAAAUGAUUCAAGUUAAUGCACAGAAGAAACGGCUGGAAGCAGAUUUAGACGAGCUCGCUGAAGAGAACAAACAACUGCAGAGCAACGUUGAGCGGUUUAGUGAAGAGAAGCAAAAGAUUGAUCGAAUGACUGCAGAGAAGCAAGAAGUUGAAUCGAACCUUAGGCAGGUCACUGAAGAGAAAACCCAACUACAUGUUGCCCUUAAUCAGAUGAGCCAGGACAAGAUCCAACUUGAGGCUCAACUAAGCGAACUGACCGCAGAGAAAAAUAACCUGAAUAGAGUCGCUGAGGAAAAGCUUCAGCUGGAAGUUAACUUUAAUCAGCUGACUGAAGAGAACAUCAGGCUUCAAUCUGAUGUGAGUCAAGUAACUGAGGAGAAGCUGCUGUUACAAGAGAGCAUAGAGAGGCGUGAAGAUGAGGUGGCUUCACUCAAAGAGGAGAACGAGUGUAUCCAGCACUCACUGCUGUCCUCAGAGCAGGAGCGCCAGAGGCUGAAGGAGCUGCUCGAGGUGACGGAGAAGAGGACUGAGGAGGAGAACAGGGAGAGGAGCCAGCAGUUUGAGGCAGAGCAGGCAGAACUGCAUCAGAAGCUGGCGGCCUUACAGAAGGAGCUGGUGGUGUUGAAGCAGCAGUACGAUUCACUGCUGCAGCAGGUGCACCAACAACACAGCCUCAUACAGCAGCUCUCAGAAUCGCAGGCAUCCCAGAUCUCAGAAGACCAAAUCAGCUGCAUGGAGUCUGAGGACACAGAAACUGGUGCAGAGGCAACAGGACAGACUGAAACAGAGUCCCCUCAAAUGAAAGACGAGCUGACCCCGACGGUGUCCGAGCAGGAUGAACUUUCCCCCAAUUCUGAUGAAUCUUUCAGUGAGACAGAGCUGGUCUUCAAGGAGGACAUCGAUGAGUCGGCGAUGAUCCAGGAACAAUCGGACGAUGAGAAGGUGGUGUGUGUGGUCAGUGCAGAGGAAAUGGCUGGUAAAGAGGAGGAGCAGCAGCCACGCUCAGACCAGCUUCCUGAAGACAGCUGUAGUCCCCCAGAUGUUCUUGAAGCGACAGAGUCACCUCAGGCCCAAGAUGACUUCCACAAUUUCAAGGAAACAAUCACAAAACAAGAAGAUGAACUCCAGACUCUGCGUGCAGAGUUCGACCUACUAAAAUCCGACCUCGCACUGAGAAUGGAUUUGACCUCUGAACUGGAAGUUCAAGUUGACAACCUGGAGAAGAAAGCUCAGGCAGCAGAGGAGGAGGCGCACGGUGCAGCACAUAAACUGAAAAUCGCCCUGGAGGAGAAGAAAGACGUUGCUGACCAGUUGGCUCAGCUGUCAGAAGAGAGGGAGACGUUAACUCUGCAGCUCCAAACGUCUAAAUGCCAGCUGGCAGAUGUGAUGGAGAUGCUGGAAGGACUGGAGAUGGCCAAAGGUGGGUGGGAUGAGAAAUUCCUCCAGCAGGAGAGCGAGCUGAAGAGGGUUCGCUCUGAGAAAGCCAACCUGGAGCAGCACAUCCUGGGCAUGGAGUCUGAGCUGGACACCCUGCAGGACGAGAGGAGCAGGCUGAAGGAGGAGAUGGAGACCCAAAGGAGGGCUUGUUCCGGCUUGGAGCAGCAGAUAGAAACACUCUCAACAGAGACAACCCAGCUGAGAUCUGAACUCGUGUCCUGCACUGAGGAGCGAGAUGACCUGAACCAGUCUUUGGGCCAGUGGAGGGAGAAAGUUUACAGUCUGGAGAAGAACAACUGUGACACCAGAAACUUAAUUUCCAUCCUGGAGGACGACAUCAGAGCAGGGAGGAAGGAGUAUGAAGCCCUUCAAAGCAGCAUGGAGAAACUGAAGACAGAGAAGCAACAGCUGUUGGAGCAGAUUAAGGCGCUGGAGCAGGCAAUAUCCCAACAGAGCGGAGAAAGAGAGGAGCUCAUCGGGCAGCUAGGCAAGAUCACAGAAGACCACACCUCAGCCUAUGAGAACACUGAGUCCAUGGUCGGCAAGAUACAGGCGUUGGAGGGAGAAGUGUGCCGUCUCUCACAGUCUCUUGAAGCCUCUCUGCUAGAAAAAGGAGAGAUCGCCUCUCGCCUGAACUCUACACAAGAUGAGGUCAAGCAGAUGAGGACUGGUAUCGAAAAGCUCCAGGUCCGCAUCGAGUCGGACGAGAGAAAGAAGAAGAAGAUGGGAGAGCUGCUCAAAGCGGCUCAGAGAAAGUCUGAUUCACUGCAAGAUCGCAUUGAUGCCCUGGAGCGAGAACGGGAAGAUGCAGAGCAAAGUCUGGAGGACGCUGUGCUGCAGGCUGAAAUGGCCAAAGCUGAGCUGGAGGAGCAAAGGCAAAAGGUGGAGGAGGAAAAGAGGGAGCUCAACGCCAAACUAUCAGAGCUCUCUGCCUCGCUGGACGACCUGAGAUCUGAGAAAGAACGCAUGGAGCGAGAGCUGGAAACAAAAAACCGAGAGAUAGAAGAACUGAAGGCCGCCAAGGAGGAGCUGGAGAGAGGGCUGGAGAGGGCAGAGGUGGACAGAAGAGAGGAAGAGGAACGACAGAGAAACAGGGUAGAGGAGCUGGAGAAAGGGAUGAAAGAGGAAGCAGAGAAGCAAACGAGACAGGUGGACGACCUCCGGGCUCAGCUGGAAGCGUCUCGGCAGAGAGAAGUCACCCUCGAACAGAAGAGUGCAGAAACUGAAGGGGACAAAGAGAGGAUGCAGUCUCUGCUGGUGGAGACGGAGAAAGAGAAAACCUGUCUGCAGGCUUCUCUGGAGGAGUGGCAGACGGAAGGAGAGAGGCUCCGCUCAAAGGCAGAGGAGACGGAGAAACUGCACUUGACCCUGUUCUCCCUGGAACAAGAGCGUGAUGACCUGCGCUGCUCACUUGCAUCUGUAGAAGAAGAGAAAGAAAGACUAGAACAAGAGCGGGCGACAUUAGCUGAUGAGAAAGAGAAGCUUCUAUCUGACCUGUCCUCGAUAGAAAAGGAGAAACACGACAUGCAACAAACUCUCUCUUCAUUAAAACAAGAGAAGGAAAGAAUAGAGGAGGAGAAACAGAAGUUAGAGGCUGAAAAAGAAGAAUUGUUGUCUUCGCUGUCUUUGAUAGAAGUGGAGAAAAAUAACUUGUCGUCAGCUCUGUCUUCUCUGCGCGAAGAGACGCAGAGAGCAGAAGAGGAGAAAGAGAAACAGUCAGAAGAGCAAGAGAGACUUCAGUCUGCAGUUUCCACUACGGAGAAGGAGGUGGAAACAUACAAGCUGUGUGUCGCAAAGCUCAACGAGCAGGUGUCCGAGCUGACCUCUAACAGCGCCCGUCUGUCUAAAGAGAAAGACUCCGCCCUGAGCAAGAUGAGUCUUUGGAUGAAGACCUGCAAACAGCUGGAGCAGGAGAAGCAAGACAUGUUAAACAGCUCAGGUGACAAAAAGACGAGAGAGGAGGCGCAGACUGAGGUGAACCAGCUGAAGAUGGAGGCAGAAGAGAGAAUGAAGGAAGUUGAGGGCCUGAAAACUUCCCUGCAGCAGAAGAGGACGGAGGCAGAAGAAAACACUAAGCAGGUGGUGGAUCUUAAAGCUGCCCUCGAUGAAAAGAAGAAGGAACUAGAAGUGACAACAGGAGAGCUGGAGGAGCUGAAGAGUGAGCUGGAAGAACUCAACAAACUUGUGGAGGACAAAAGCAGCGAGGCAGAUGAGAGCAUGGAGAAAUACUGCAGUCUGAUGGUUCAAUACCACAAACUGGAAGAGACCAACGAUGCACUGACGACGCGCCUGGAGCAGCUCACUGCCACCCAGCGCGCUAACGAAGCUAACGUCCACUCCAGCAGCACCGACUGUACACGCCGCCGGCGCUCAGCGAGGAAGUCCUCCGCCAACCGUCAGGAAGGAAAGCUGAACGACAACACUGAGAACACAGCUCCUUCAACACCUCAGAGGUCUCCUCAGGGCUCCUCUGCAGGGAAGCGAGGUCACCGUGACAUCAGUGAUAAAGACGCACAGGAGGCCCUCCUCAACCUGACAAAGAAGAUCAAAGCCAACGCAGUGACGACACCCAAACCAAGAAGUCAGCAGGAAGAUGAGGAAUUCAAACCAGAGGGACUUCCUGAGCUGGUGCAGAGAGGGUUUGCUGAUAUUCCUCUGGGGGAGGCCAGUCCAUUCAUCAUGAGGAGAACCACAGUGAAGCGCAGUCCUCGGCUGGCUGCCAGACAGGCUGCUUCCACACCUGACGGCAAGGUCAGCUUCUAAUCGUGUCAGGUCAGCUGAAGUGAACCAGUCGUGUUUUUAAAGGAUGUGGAGGUUUCAGGUUUUGAGUUCCUCUGCAGACGACUCGAUAAAUGUAAGGAAGACGCCGGAGCACAAAGAGAAACAACAGCAAGGAGAAAACUGUCACGUACAGUAGAUCGAUGUUCACAUGCACUCACACUCACACACACACAAAAAGUCUUGCACUUGUGAUUUAUUUGUAGAAAUGCACACUUGUAAACACGAAAUCUUACCACUCCCCUUGUUUGUUUUUUCCUAAAGACACAAUUAGUUUCAAAGUAGCAUCCAUCCAGCCAGUGUGUAACACUUAAGAUGCUGUGCUGUGUGGUGAUACCCGUUUGUUCCUCUGUCUACAUCUCUUCACUUCUCUUUGUGUUCUUAUCACUGGUUCUUCUUUAUUUUCUUCUGUACUGUUCUUGUUGUUGAGAAAACUUUUGUUCUUUGUACAUACUAGUAGAUAUAUACAGCAUUAACCGCUAUGCUUCAUCCCUCUAUUAGUCCUGUAACAUGUCUGAUCGCUAAUGGCAGCUAAGAUUUUGUAGAUUUUCUCCUGUUUUAACUUUCUAGAUAUUUUUGUAAUUGUAGACGGGAAAAGAAAUGUGUUUUUAAUUCACUUUUGUUUUGAUGCUUUGCCUUCUUACUGAUCUGUGCGGCAAAUGCUCAAAGCAGGUCUGUAAUUUCGGUUUGUUUUUUAGUCAUGUACAGAUCAAUUCCAUUGAUCAUUGUAAAUAUUUCAAAAUUGCCCUUUUUUACUAAACCUUUUUAACUGUCA